UAACAGAGAUAAUAAUAAUACGAUCAAUUACCAAAAUAACCCUAUGGUGAGGGGAGCUGGUGUUCUAUAUAAGAAAUCGGAAACCCUAACGCAUCCUCAAACUACUUGAUCUUAUCUGAGCAGAUUGGGGUUUUAACACCGUAUCGAUUUGAGCCACCCGCUUUGCCCACGGCUAAGUAGACGGCGGCACAAUCGUUUCCGGUGGCUCCUCUCUUGCGAUGAAGACUGCCUGCUUUCUGAGCCUUUCGGCUAUGACGGAAGUGCAGGCUUUACCCCCCUAAAAUAUCCAGCAAAUUAAACUCCUUUUCUCUAGGUGGGGUGAUUCGUUUAAUCAAUAUGGAGCUGGAGAUGCAUUUCAACGGUAGAGAAUUGAAGAGCUGAUAGAAGAAAGAAGUUGGUAUAUUUUGCUCAUGCUGAUAGAGGAGUGUAAUACAAAUAUUUGUGGACUUUUAAUAUAAAUUUAACAAAGUAAUAAAGGUUAUUCCGUUCGAGUUAUAUGGAUUCAUUCUGUUACGGUUACGGUACAAGUUCAUCAAUUUAUUUUUUUAUUUUGUUAUGUUCCAUUUUGUAUUACUGCAAGAAGGUGCAUGUUUGUUAGUAAUGGCUUGAUUGGCUACAUAAAUCUCAAGGGGGAUACAUUUAUUUUGGA